rnacentral:lncRNA from 1 species
CUUCCUUCCAUUAGCCUUGACGCUACCUCUACGGUCCUGCAGCUGCAACUCCCCACCCCUGUCCCACAGAUGCAGGCCUCCUCUGUCCCUGGACACUGGACUUCAGGCUGAGGUGUCCUGCCUUGGAGGCACUGCUCAAAGAAGAAAGGGACACCAUCCCUAGUUUCAAGGCGCGACUUGUCCUGCCCCUGAUGGCUGUGGCUGAUCCACGAGGAAGUAAACUUGGACUGGGAAAACACAAACUGUCUCGGCCUGCAACAUACAUCCCAUUGAUAAACGUAUUGAUAAACCCUAACGUCGAUAAGACAUCUGUCUGGACCUUUCAGGUCUGAACAGACAGGGCAGCUGCUGAGAACCUGGGGAAACUGACAAUCCGAUUCCUCUCUGUGUCUGAACCUUCCCUCUUCUCACUGCACCACCACUGCAGGCCUCUUUGACUCACACAAGACCGUUUUUUAGCACAAGGUCACCUUGAGGUCAACCGUCAACCCCAAUGCUACAGAAACUCACCUCUGACUGCGAACCU